AUUGAACGCUGGCGGCAGGCCUAACACAUGCAAGUCGAGCGGCAGCGGGAAAGUAGCCUGCUACUUUUGCCGGCGAGCGGCGGACGGAUGAGUAAUGCCUGGGAAAUUGCCCAGUCGAGGGGGAUAACGGUUGGAAACGACUGCUAAUACCGCAUACGCCCUACGGGGGAAAGCAGGGGACCUUCGGGCCUUGCGCGAUUGGAUAUGCCCAGGUGGGAUUAGCUAGUUGGUGAGGUAAUGGCUCACCAAGGCGACGAUCCCUAGCUGGUCUGAGAGGAUGAUCAGCCACACUGGAACUGAGACACGGUCCAGACUCCUACGGGAGGCAGCAGUGGGGAAUAUUGCACAUUGGGGGAAACCCUGAUGCAGCCAUGCCGCGUGUGUGAAGAAGGCCUUCGGGUUAUAAAGCACUUUCAGCGAGGAGGAAAGGUUGAUGCCUAAUACGUAUCAACUGUGACGUUACUCGCAGAAGAAGCACCGGCUAACUCCGUGCCAGCCGCCGCCGUAACAC
rnacentral:rRNA from 1 species